AUGUAUAGUUAUUCUUGUUCCAGGCCUUUUGGCUUUUGGACAACUCGCUACUUGAGGAUUUUCAGGGUGAUCCACAAAGCAUUGUCAAAAUUGGUGAAGGUACUUACAGUGAAACUUUCAGGGCUGGUAAAAUUGUCUGCAAAAUGGUUCCAAUUGAUGGAGAAUUACUAGUGAACAAGGAAGUACAAAAGAUGUUUAGUUAUUUUACCUUAGUUGCAUCUUUUUUUUUUCCCAGUUAUUUUUUAGUGUGAGAAGUUAUUUAGAGGUGGGGGGGAGGAAGGUUUGUCAAGUUUCUGUGGCACAAUUGUUUUCUCAAUAUAGUUUGUGGUUUUAUGUGUGCCUAAGCAGUUAGGUGAUGCUGAACUAGCUUCCAUUCAGCAGGACACUUAUUAGGUUGCAGGGUACAUGCAUAUGUUAACUUCCAUUCAGGAGUGUUAAAGCAUGGACAGUCGAUCAUGCUUUGAGUGUCUUAGUGCCUAGUUUUGAAGAAAAUCCUAUCUCCCAGGCACCCACCAUUAUCAGCUUUGGCUUGUUAGUUACUUUGUAUAGACUACAGUUCACCUUUUGCUCAUCCAGUUCACAUCCUUUGUGUUUAUACAAUAUGUUUCUUUACAGAAUUUAAAGUUGAUAAGCAAAUAUUGGAAGAUACUUUUUGCAGAGCUA